rnacentral:rRNA from 1 species
CCUACGGGUGGCAGCAGUGGGGAAUAUUGCGCAAUGGGCGAAAGCCUGACGCAGCGACGCCGCGUGAGGGAUGAAGGUCUUCGGAUCGUAAACCUCUGUCAGCAGGGAAGAACGGUCACUGUGCUAAUCAGCAGUGAAUUGACGGCACCUGCAAAGGAAGCACCGGCUAACUCCGUGCCAGCAGCUGCGGUAAUACGGAGGGUGUGAGCGUUAACCGGAAUUACUGGGCGUAAAGCGCGCGUAGGCGGUAUGUCAAGUCAAGGGUGAAAUCCCCGCGCUCAACGUGGGAACUGCCUUUGAAACUGGCAAGCUGGAGUGUGGGAGAGGAUAGUGGAAUUCCAGGUGUAGGAGUGAAAUCCGUAGAUAUCAGGAGGAACAUCAGUGGCGAAGGCGACUAUCUGGCACAUAACUGACGCUGAGGAGCGAAAGCGUGGGGAGCAAACAGGAUUAGAUACCCGUGUAGUC